UCUUGUUGCUAGUACCUAGUAAUAUAACUGAUACAGACCUCUUAGGAGCAACUUGUACACUUACACAUAGGACUUACUAGGUAGAAAAUAAUCUCAUCUCCAAGUAAGAAUGGUUUUAUUUCUUCCACUCCAAUCCUUACUUGUUUUUCUGCACUAGGUAGGAUCCCCAUGUGGACCAGACGUAGAAAUAGCAGCCAUCUUUGUUCUUAUCCCUGAUUUUAAAGACAGUGCUUCUAAUUUCUCACCCCUGAGUAUGAGAGUUGCUGUAGUUUCUUGAGAGAUGUCCUUUAUAUCAGUCAGAAUAAGGUAGGCUAUGCUGUGGUCACACACUUGGAAAUCUUAGAGGCUUAACACUAUAAGGGUUAUUUCUUGCUUACGCAAAGUCUGGUGAGAGUGAAGCAUCCUUACUCCAUCUUUAAUCUAUGCCAUCUGCAAUACACAGCCUCCAAGGUCACUGGAGCAAGAGAAGAGAGCGAUGGAGGAGGAAUAUCGGCUCAACUGCCUUCACUUAAAAGUGACACAUGUCACUUCCACGCACAGUCUACCGGACAAAACGAGCUUAUCGGACAACUGGCUUACUUUACCUUUUUUCACAAGAGACACCAUCGAUAUCCAUGCUCUGGGAACGUGAGAGAGACUGAGAUUGGGUUUCAAGGCUAUUGGAGGGCGAGCUGCUGAGAGAACUGACUCCUUCACUGCUCUGGCUUCGAUGAGCUACUCCUAACCAGAAAAGACACAAGAAAUUUAAGUUUCCUGUGAAGUAACAUGAAAGCCACUUGUAAUGGCAACAGUAGUCAUACACAAUCGGCAUCCACACCACCAGAACAGUCAGCAAAUGAGGAUUCUCUUUCGGGAGAUCAUGCUAACAGUGUAACGUUAAAGUCAUGGAAACAUCAGCAAGAAAUCAGAGUGCAUCCAUAUACGUCGCCUGAGGUCAGCGACAGAGCUACAUCUGGUAACUAAAACGGACUCCUCAUCGCUUUUUCUUUCGCCAGUUCAAAUAUGGUCCCUGAAUACAAAUUAGCUACCGUGAUUGUCCAGAGAAAAAUCCUUGAAACGUGCCAGAAAUAAGAUAAAUUAAUAAAUGGCUAUAGAGAUACACAGAUGGACAGAUGUGUGAUAAAGCAAAUAGACCACAAUGUUAACGGUGGGAGCUAGAUGGCAGGUAUACAGGUGUCCGUUCCAAGUCUUUCAACUUUGCCGUAUGCUUACGACCUGCGCAAUAAAAUGUUGACAACAUGCAAA